rfam:Toxocara canis scaffold1078, whole genome shotgun sequence.
GCGGCAAUAGCUCAGUGGUAGAGCCCCGCUUCGAGUGCGGGGAGACCCGGGUUCGAUUCCCGGCUGCUUCC